AAACAACUGAUUUGUACUCUAGGAUCAUUUGACUGUAUUUAUAUUUCUCUUCCCCUUCGUCCUCAGUGCUCAGGUUUUCUUUGUAGUUCAGUUUUUUAGUUUUUGAAGCUGACCCUGUUUUUUACGUGGGGGCGGGCUUAGUGCCUGUUGGCCACCUGACAUCUGACAGAGAAGUUAUGUAUGGCGUCACUUCCACCCGGAAGCCUUUUGCCAAAUUGCGCCUUGAACGUAUGGAAGGGUUUGGUCUCGACUCUUUGCUGCCGAAACAAACGCUGGGACGGUGGACAUCUGGGGGUUUAUGGAGACCAAGGAGUAGAACACAUGGACAUCAAGAUUUAUGUUGACAGACUGGCUGCGGCAGAGGAUGUUUGACAUCAGGAUAGUCUUCACAAUCAGUGGAAGACUUUGGCAGGACCUGGGGAUGACCAUUUCAAUCAGUACUUUCAUCAGUAUGUCAUCUGCACUUCUCAAAACUUGCGAUGGCACUGACACAGAAGUCCCAUCAUCUCCACUAUCUCCAGACUACAGAGGAAGUGGUGGAGUGGGAGGAGGGUGAGAAAUGGCAGACCAGGAUGGAGAAGGUGAGGAAUUCACUGAAGGACAAGGAACGAGAGAAUGGACUCCCUGUCCAAACAACUCAGCACUCUUAAAGACCUCUACGGCAGCCUGCCUCCAAUCCAAGAUGACCUUGACAUUGAGGGAUGGAACAACCCUUCACAGGACACAUCCGUGGAAAAUGGGAAGACUCAGUCCUGCCAACCCUCAUGAGGACACUGACGGGGACCAUUUUCCCAGAUGUGGAUCAUGCUGAAGUGUACAGUGAAGAACUAAGGGACCUGAUAUCUUAAAUGUUAGCAGAACCAGACAAUUUUAAAGUAAUAGCUUUAUUAUAUGUGGAUGAAAAAAAGCAAAAAUAAAAUAAAGAAAAAUUUGCUGAAAAAUAAUUUUUUUAAAAACCCAGUGACUUAGUGGAAUCAACUACAGAAUUCAGAAUCAGCUUUAAUGGCCAGGUGGUUUGGAAAAGAGGAAUUUGACUCUGGUACAACAGCUCUACAUAUCCCUUUGACAAGUAAACAGGGUAAAUGGACUGUAUUUAUAUAGCGCAUUUUUCCACAGUGUGUUGCACUGACCAAAGCGCUUUACAGGUGAUAAUACACCAUUCACACACUGAUGACAACAGGCUGCCACACACCAGCGCUAGUCAAGCCACAGGGAGCAAUGCAGGGUUCAGUGACACUUAAGAAUGCGGGGAGACCGGGAGUCGAACCACCAACUUGCUGGUCAGGAGACGACUGCCCUACCUCGUGAGCCACAGCGGACAAAACAGAAAAAGUAUUAAUGUGCAACAAGCAUUGAACUGUCAACUUGUGUAACUUAUUUGUUCUUAUUCUGCACUGUUUCCUCCCAUUGCAUUAGUGUUUUAUAAACCUAAUGUACUCCAUCCAUUACUUGUAAUUUAAACCCAUACUGUUGUAUAUUGUGUAUAACUUUAUAUAACUUACUGUAAAUAUCAAUGGUACAUAAACUAUUGGAAAAUUAAUACUGACUGUACAUAAUGUACUGUAGAACUUGUGUACUCUGCAUUUCUGGUUAGAU